GCAUGUAACUGAUACACCAUCGUGUUUGUUAUUAACAUUUGAAACAACCAACCAAUACAUUUAUGUUGGGGAACAUUGCACGGGAAACAAAAAUUUCCCACGCACACGCAAGACCUAUCCAUGGUGAUGAUCAUCUACGAGAGGGGAGAUCGGAUCCACAUACCCUUGUAGAUCGCUAAGCGGGAAGCGUUUAAGAAACGCGGUUGAUGUAGUCGAACGUCUUCGUGAUCCGAAUCGCAGACGUCCCACAAACUCUGUUCCGAUCUAGUGCCGAACGGACGGCACCUCCGGGUUCAGCACACGUACAGCUCGAUGACGAUCUCCGCCUUCUUGAUCCAGCAAAAGGGACGGAGAGGUAGAUGAGUUCUCCGGCAGCACGACGGCGUGGUGGUGGUGGUGAACUAAUCGAGCAGGGCUUCGCCAAGCAAUGUCGGACUAAGCUGGAUGAGGGAGACGAUCUAUGGAGGAGAGGGCAUCACGUGGAUUUUCUGGUGAAGUUUGCCCUCAAAACAUC
rnacentral:lncRNA from 1 species